rnacentral:RNase_MRP_RNA from 19 species
GAACACGAUUUAGAAUUGCGAAGUCAAGUGGGUCUUCAUCCUGGUGCACCAUGUGCUAGAGCUGGAGGCGGCUUGGGGAAAUUCCCCGGACACCAGGGCAGAGAGUGCCAGCGUCUAAGCGCAGACUCCCUCAGCGAUGAAGCUACGCGGAGAUGGCUCACUUCGGUGGGCCGGAGCUUUCGGCGGAUUCGUGAGGACUGAUGGUCAUACUAAAAGUUAUGCAAUUGGCUCAGCGGCACAUGGCGGACGUCGUGUCGUCGUCGCUUUGAGCUAACCCGACGGGGAUUACUCAUGUUGUGUU